AACGAACGCUGGCGGCAUGCCUAACACAUGCAAGUCGAACGAGACCUUCGGGUCUAGUGGCGCACGGGUGCGUAACGCGUGGGAACCUGCCCUUAGGUUCGGAAUAACUCCCCGAAAGGGGUGCUAAUACCGGAUAAUGUCUUCGGACCAAAGAUUUAUCGCCUUUGGAUGGGCCCGCGUUGGAUUAGCUAGUUGGUAGGGUAAAAGCCUACCAAGGCGACGAUCCAUAGCUGGUCUGAGAGGAUGAUCAGCCACACUGGGACUGAGACACGGCCCAGACUCCUACGGGAGGCAGCAGUGGGGAAUAUUAGACAAGGGGCGAAAGCCUGAUACAGCAAUGCCGCGUGAGUGAUGAAGGCCUUAGGGUUGUAAAGCUCUUUUACCCGGGAUGAUAAUGACAGUACCGGGAGAAUAAGCUCCGGCUAACUCCGUG
rnacentral:rRNA from 1 species